rnacentral:misc_RNA from 1 species
UGAAGGUUGCGGAUUAGAUCUUUUGGAUCCAAUACUGAAAGAAUUUUGCCCUCAGAAUGUACUGAGAUGCAUUCAUGUGGGUCUCUUAUGUGUACAAUACCAUGCAACAGAUAGACCAACUAUGUCAGAUGUUGUUUCCAUGCUUUCAAAUGAAACUAUGCAAUUACCUGAACCAAAACAGCCUGCAUUUUUUAUCAAUGCAGUGGCCGAAGAGCCUGACAUACCCGAUAGCCAGUCGGACAACUGUUCCAUAAAUCAAGUAUCAAUUUCUGUGAUGGAAGCCAGAUAGUAUAUUUCUGAAUCCAUAAACA